rnacentral:rRNA from 1 species
AGUGAACGCUGGCGGUAGGCCUAACACAUGCAAGUCGAACGGCAGCACAGUAAGAGCUUGCUCUUACGGGUGGCGAGUGGCGGACGGGUGAGGAAUACAUCGGAAUCUACUUUUUCGUGGGGGAUAACGUAGGGAAACUUACGCUAAUACCGCAUACGACCUACGGGUGAAAGCAGGGGAUCUUCGGACCUUGCGCGAUUGAAUGAGCCGAUGUCGGAUUAGCUAGUUGGCGGGGUAAAGGCCCACCAAGGCGACGAUCCGUAGCUGGUCUGAGAGGAUGAUCAGCCACACUGGAACUGAGACACGGUCCAGACUCCUACGGGAGGCAGCAGUGGGGAAUAUUGGACAAUGAGCGCAAGCCUGAUCCAGCCAUACCGCGUGGGUGAAGAAGGCCUUCGGGUUGUAAAGCCCUUUUGUCGGGAAAGAAAAGCAGCAGGUUAAUACCCCGCUGUUCUGACGGUACCCAAAGAAUAAGCACCGGCUAACUUCGUG